UAUUUAGAAUGGUACUGAUGUGAUGAAAUGAAAAAUUGAUCAGGGCCUUUCUAAGUAGAGUAA
rnacentral:miRNA from 1 species